UACGUAGGUGGCAAGCGUUGUCCGGAUUUAUUGGGCGUAAAGGGCGCGUAGGCGGUCCAUUAAGUUCGGGGUGAAAUCUCCCGGCUUAACUGGGAGCGGUCCCCGGAUACUGAUGGACUAGAGGGGGGUAGAGGAAGGCGGAAUUCCCGGAGUAGCGGUGAAAUGCGUAGAUACCGGGAGGAACACCGGUGGCGAAGGCGGCCUUCUGGGCCUACCCUGACGCUGAGGCGCGAAAGCGUGGGGAGCAAACCGGAUUAGAUACCCCCGUA
rnacentral:rRNA from 1 species